UACAGAGGUCUCAAGCGUUGUUCGGAUUCAUUGGGCGUAAAGGGUGCGUAGGCGGCGCGGUAAGUCGGGUGUGAAAUCUCGGGGCUUAACUCCGAAACUGCAUUCGAUACUGUCGGGCUUGAGUACGGAAGAGGCGAGUGGAAUUCCUGGUGUAGCGGUGAAAUGCGCAGAUAUCAGGAGGAACACCAAUUGCGAAGGCAGCUCGCUGGGACGUUACUGACGCUGAGACGCGAAAGCGUGGGGAGCAAACAGG
rnacentral:rRNA from 1 species